rnacentral:rRNA from 1 species
UACGUAGGGUGCAAGCGUUAAUCGGAAUUACUGGGCGUAAAGCGUGCGCAGGCGGUUAUGCAAGACAGAUGUGAAAUCCCCGGGCUCAACCUGGGAACUGCAUUUGUGACUGCAUGGCUAGAGUGCGGCAGAGGGGGAUGGAAUUCCGCGUGUAGCAGUGAAAUGCGUAGAGAUGUGGAGGAACACCGAUGGCGAAGGCAGCCUCCUGGGCCAAUACUGACGCUCAUGCACGAAAGCGUGGGGAGCAAACAGG